rnacentral:rRNA from 1 species
GACGAACGCUGGCGGCGUGCUUAACACAUGCAAGUCGAACGGAAAGGCCCUGCUUUUGUGGGGUGCUCGAGUGGCGAACGGGUGAGUAACACGUGAGUAACCUGCCCUUGACUUUGGGAUAACUUCAGGAAACUGGGGCUAAUACCGGAUAGGAGCUCCUGCUGCAUGGUGGGGGUUGGAAAGUUUCGGCGGUUGGGGAUGGACUCGCGGCUUAUCAGCUUGUUGGUGGGGUAGUGGCUUACCAAGGCUUUGACGGGUAGCCGGCCUGAGAGGGUGACCGGCCACAUUGGGACUGAGAGACGGCCCAGACUCCUACGGGAGGCAGCAGUGGGGAGUAUUGCACAAUGGGCGGAAGCCUGAUGCAGCAACGCCGCGUGCGGGAUGACGGCCUUCGGGUUGUAAACCGCUUUCGCCUGUGACGAAGCGGGAGUGACGGUAAUGGGUAAAGAAGCACCGGCUAACUACGUG